AGCGAACGCUGGCGGCAGGCCUAACACAUGCAAGUCGAACGGAUCCUUCGGGAUUAGUGGCGGACGGGUGAGUAACACGUGGGAACGUGCCUUUUGGUUCGGAACAACUCAGGGAAACUUGAGCUAAUACCGGAUGUGCCCUUCGGGGGAAAGAUUUAUCGCCAUUAGAGCGGCCCGCGUCUGAUUAGCUUGUUGGUGAGGUAAAGGCUCACCAAGGCUACGAUCAGUAGCUGGUCUGAGAGGAUGAUCAGCCACACUGGGACUGAGACACGGCCCAGACUCCUACGGGAGGCAGCAGUGGGGAAUCUUGCGCAGUGGGCGAAAGCCUGACGCAGCCAUGCCGCGUGAAUGAUGAAGGUCUUAGGAUUGUAAAAUCCUUUCACCGGGGACGAUAAUGACGGUACCCGGAGAAGAAGCUCCGGCUAACUUCGUGCCAGCCGCCGCCGUAAAAC
rnacentral:rRNA from 1 species